GAUGAACGCUGGCGGCGUGCCUAAUACAUGCAAGUCGAGCGAACAGACGAUGAGCUUGCUCCUCUGACGUUAGCGGCGGACGGGUGAGUAACACGUGGAUAACCUACCUAUAUGACUGGUAUAACUUCGGGAAACCGGCGCUAAUACCGGAUAAUCUCUUGAACCGCAUGGUUCAAUAGUGAAAGACGGUUUUGCUGUCACUUCUCGCUGCUUCCGGGCCGGAUUAGAUAGUUGGUAAGGUAACGGCCUACCAAGGCAACUAUGCGUAGCCGACGUGAGGGAGUGAUCGGCCACACGAGAACGGAGACGGGGUCAAGACUCCUGAGGGAGGCAGCAGUAGGGAAUCGUCCGCAAUGGGCGAAAGCAUGACGGAGCAACGCCGCGUGAGAGAUGAAGAUCUUCGGAUCGUAAAAAUCUGUUAUUAGGGAAGAACAAAUGUGUAAGGAAAUAUGCACGUCUUGACGGUACCGAAUCAGAAAGCCACGGCUAACUACGUG
rnacentral:rRNA from 1 species